UACAGAGGUCUCAAGCGUUGUUCGGAUUCAUUGGGCGUAAAGGGUGCGUAGGUGGCAUGGUAAGUCGGAUGUGAAAUCCCGGGGCUCAACCCCGGAACUGCAUUCGAUACUGCUGCGCUAGAGUACUGGAGAGGAGAUUGGAAUUUACGGUGUAGCAGUGAAAUGCGUAGAUAUUGUGAGGAACACUAGUGGCGAAGGCGAGACUCUGGACAGUUCCUGACGCUGAGGCACGAAGGCCAGGGGAGCAAACGGG
rnacentral:rRNA from 1 species